ACCUCUCAAUGGUAGACUGGCAUUUAAUAAAAGGAUGCGGAGAAGAAUGGGAUGACUAGAUGAAGCCACACACACAUAGCCAAGAAGAAUGGACAGCUGAAUU